UAAAGCUCAUUUGAAAAACCCCUUGGAGAAUUCUUGGACGUGUUUAGACCUGCUUAAAGAAAGUAAACCAGUGUGCAAAUAUUUUAACUUGAUUUUUUAGAAUUCUUAUCCCACAAAUCUUAGAAAAUAGUCAGAGCAAAGCAGAUGUUUUUUCCUCAGAAUUCACUGUAGAUUUUUACUUCCAUCAGAAAUGAAAUUUAUUCUGUAUUUUAUAGCUAUAAUUCUAUUGGGAACCAGUAGUCAAUCUAGUUUAGUUGGAUGGAUUUUAGGCAGGGAUAGCUCCCCUUUUAAUAUUUUGAAUAGCGAAAAACAAUUUGACAAGCUUAUGACUGCAACAACAACAAAUGAAGAACAUAAGAUUGAAACAUAUGACCCAAAAGAGAAUGCCAUAGAAGCAAGAUCUGAUAUUCCAUUUGAGCUUAGUGUCGCGGAUGAGAAAUUCAUUGCAGAUGCACAAAAAUACACUGAUCUAAGCCUAAGUGAGCUGGAUGUCUGCCAACAUAAAUUGAUCCUUCAAUUGAAGCAAGACUGUAAUGAUCUCUCAGAGGAAGAUCUGUCAAAGUUGGGAGUUAACCUUCUAAACUGCCAGUCAAGGCUCGAAGGAAGAAAGGUCUUCCCAUGCACAUCUUUAAUGUCUUUGAAAGAAUGUACUAGUGACAUGGAUUCAGAUACCUGGAAUGCCUACCAUAUUCUGUCAAACAGAGCAAGAUCAGUUUGCUAUGGAGCUCGACAGCAACAGUUUAGAGCACUGACUCAGAUGACUGUUAACAAACUCAUGGCCAGUUCAAGCCGGCAGUUGGGGUUUAUAAGAGAACUCAAGGCUGAGCAAGAGGAACUAGGAUCAUUGGCUGCAGAUACUUUGACUUCUUUAACCAAAGGUCAAGAGCAGCUGUUGGAGCAGCAAGAGUAUCUAAAGGCCACCCAGCAGAUAGCUUCACAGCAAUUAAGCAGCACUAUUAGAGAAAUGUCAAGAGAGCGCGCUGCUGCCUAUGCAGGUCAACGACAACUUUCGGCCUUAAGUGAUUCGUUAAAAGAAACUUUGAAUCAAGCAGCUCAGUUGGCCAUGGAGCAAGAAAACGAUCGAAAGAUAGCACAGGAGCACCUCCUGAAUUCUUUGAUGAAUCUCGAAGGACACGUAGGCGAAGUUUGGAACCAAUUAGAGGAAAGUGUCAAUAAAUUACUAAAUCAACAAGAUCACGCAGCUCAAAUGCAAACAGAAACUAUAGAAACGCUACAGCGACUAAAUCAUACUUUCCAAUUUUUGUUGAGCGUCUCUGAGAACAGUCGUGAACAACUGAAUUGGAUUCAAAGCUUGGUUGUUAAUACAGAAAAAAAGGUCGGAAAGUUGUCAACCUGGGUUCUCCACGUCUGCUAUUUCCUGUUGGGGAUGCUGUUGUUAGCAUUCGUACAAGCCCCAUCGUACAUGCGGUGGAUAUUUUUGUUCUUGGUCCCUAUUAAUUUAUCAAUGGACCUUCAGCAAGGUGUCGCAAUGGAUGCUCCGGCUCUCGUAGGCCUCCUUUUUGUCGUUUCUACUGGUUAUCGAGUGUUCUUGUAUUUGAAAUCCCGCUGCAGUCCUAUUACGCGCGCUAUUGAUAAGCCUCAGGAGAUCGAGUACCGUUCUUCGACUCCCGCUGCGAAGGUUUUUGUGACGAGCGUUUCGGACAAUACGGUGGAUGACCUUCUCGAGGGUUGCACUCUGCUGAAUGACUCAUUCGAUGGAGAUCGUAGCAGCACGCCGCUGCCUUCGCCUUCGUUUGAAAUGUUCAUGUCACAACAGAAACACAAAAGCGUUCGGUCACUUCUACAAGACAGCAAACUUGGUGAUAUAAGCUUGGGAAGCGCUGUUCACCGUCGGAGUCCUAGGAGAGCAAACACUUCGAAUUCGUUCAGAGAGCUCUCCCCUACCCGAUCAGUGGCUUCGAACAUGUCGAUCAAUCAGUCGAGAAGUGGCACACCGCGUCGACCGGCCACUCCUCGCCGCACUUGCUCUGGAACAUGCGUAGACGGUUCUAGUUGCCGCAACGCGUGCAUGAAGGAUUCUGUAUUUUGCUGGCAGCACAAAUGAAAUUUUACUUCUUCAAUAACUUGGAUUCAAUAUGUUUGCUUAUCAAAGCAACGACGAAGGAUGGCAUCUGCACCUCCAAUUCAAGAGUUCAUCGAGUACUUUUUUGGCCUGUACAUCAAUCAGACGUUUUCUUAGUGGACGGAUUUUUUUAACGCAAUUAAACUCGACGUUCGCGUGAUAAAAUGCGAUUCGCACUGGAUCGUGCCGUCCCAUAUUCCUUCACAUUUCCCCCACAAUCGGAUGCAACGGCGUACCGCGUUGCUUUUUAUAAACAAAUUUAUUCGCAAAGUAUCGGAUGUUAAAACGAAAAAAUUGUUCGGAAUUGUUUAUUUUUGGAAUGGGGGAUAAGCGAUCGAAAGGUGCGACCGAUGUAACACGUUAAAAAUGGCGAUAACAGAAUUUUACACGUUAAACAGCCACGUAGA
rnacentral:misc_RNA from 1 species